UUUGUCGGCAAUAAAUAAUAAUUUAUUACGAUAGUUUGAAACAGAUUUGAAAACAGAGCAGUCACAAAAAGCUCGCAAAAUUUGGACUUGAUAUUUCAUAUUAUGCUAAUCUGUAUGUAAAUUUUACUUUAGGAGACAUUGAUUUUGUAAAGAACACGAACCCUUUGAGCACGGACUUUGUUUAAUUUUGUACAUAAUAGUCUGUCAUUAAUGUAUUCUAAAAUGUGACAGACAAUUGUAAAAAAAAGGCGUCUGAACGCGGAGCAAAGUCGCCUUUCUAUGGUUGUGAUUUCAUGGGGCUCCACAUAUUCUAAAGGACUUGUAUCUGGGCUAUUUACUGGUGAUUUGCUUUUCCAAGAAUUGUCUACAAGUCAUUGGCACGAUGAGAAGGCGCUGUGUCAUGCACAAAGAUGUCUACUUGAAUGAUACAAUGACGACUAUAAAAAUACGACGUGACGUUCUAGCACGUGCGUGAUGUAGUCAUCCAAACGAAGCCUUCCCUUGAUUUUCAAAAGUUGGGUUUUGUUUAUUCCAGCCAGGCCACUCCAAACAACGUCAGUUUCCUGGUCUCUGCUCCUCAAUGACAGAUUAUAAUGUCCGAAAUCUAACUAACACAGUCAAUGCUCAAAAAGGGUUAGUGCGCCACACGAAACCAAAGGCUCGUAAACAAAACACUACUAAGCAUAUUAUUUAACGUCAUGUCCAAGAUUUGUGACGGCUCUGAUUUCCAAUCUCUUUGAAGAUAUCGUAGAAAAACGUUGUUCAUUGCUGAGAAACAAUUAUAUUCUCCACUCACUUGAUACGCAAUACCUUUCCAUUACCAGCAAUGCUAAUACAUCCCAAUACAAGCGCGAACAUACUUUUGCAUUUCUUUGAUUUCACGCAAUUUUGCCAAGCCUGAUUUUUAAGGUUAUUUUUGGGUGACGAUUUCUCGGAUGACUUUCAUUUUGGAUGUUUGAUAAAUGUCUGUCCUUCCUUUAACCAGCAGUAGAUGUAAACAGUAUAAUGGUGAACCUGAACAUUUUAUGCUCCGAAUCUUUUUAUAAACUGCAUUGAUGUUAGAGGAUAUUCUUUGUCGACACCUGUCUUCAUCACAAGGAGAAUAGGACAAUGGACCUUCUACAGGAGCGUCUACGGGACUGGGGUGGGUGGGGGGCGCCUGCAUGAUCGUCAACAGUAUCAGAGGACACUCUGAAUGACCAGAGGACCAUCAAUAACGACUGCGUUGAGAAAUGAUCUAUGAUGAUCAGUCCCAGAAGAAAGCUGCCAAACCAACAGUUAACAGCUGCCCUAGAAAAUCCAGACGGCAAUGGCCUUCCUCUCACCGUGGAUGGUCACAUCCCUCUUCUGUGCAUGACAGCCAGCCAAUGAGAACGCUAGGCUAACAUGACCUAAUUCUGGUAAUAGCACUGUGGAACAAGUUUUCAAUCAGUCAGACAAGAACUAACAGACAAUUGCCAGGCAUCAAGAAUACCAGCAUCCAGCUACUCUUGAAUGAACUUGUCAUUUCCACCAGCUUACCACAGGCAACUUAAACAGCUGACAAAGCAGUUUUACUUCUAUUAUGAAGAAAUUUGUUGAUAGUACUGUAUAAUCCCACAAAGACUCUAGAAAACAUUCCAAGUAUCAUGUCUGAAGGGAGAUUUUCUAACAAUCUUAUUAGAUACAAUGUUACUGAUUUAGAAACAUGAUAAAAAGAUUUCUUCCUUCCUUUCAAUACAAAGUUUGGUGACAUCAGACCCACGGGGUCUAUUCACUUUUCUGGUUAAACAGGUCUCAUGGCGCUCUGUUGCUUCAGGCUUAAAGUGACGCAUUACGGCUAUGGAUAUAGUCAGAUAGGUUGAUAGGGAGAUAGGAGGAGAGGCUAGGUUCAGAGUAGGAUUAUUAUGUAGAUAUUUCCAUGGAUGAGAGUGAGUUGGGGGCGAGGGGGGGGGGGCAGUGUAGGGUUUCUUAGGGGACGGGGGGGGGUAGGGGGAGGGGAGUUGGUGAAAGAAUGGAGUGGGAAGAGCUGCCUACUAAUUCUAAGCUUGAGUGUGAGGUUGGUGAGAUGACUUUAGUAUUCUGUAAUGUUCCUUAAUGUGCCGUAAAUGUGUUCACUUUUUUUUAAAUAAAAACCAAAUACACAAG